UACGUAGGCAGCAAGCGUUGUUCGGAGUUACUGGGCGUAAAGGGUGUGUAGGCGGUUCUUUUAAGUUUGCUGUGAAAUCUCCCGGCUUAACCGGGAGGGUGCGGUGAAUACUGAGGGACUAGAGUACGGGAGAGGAAAGUGGAAUUCCUGGUGUAGCGGUGAAAUGCGUAGAUAUCUGGAGGAACACCGGUGGCGAAGGCGGCAUCCUGGGUCAAGAUUGACGCUCAUGCACGAAAGCGUGGGGAGCAAACAGG
rnacentral:rRNA from 1 species